UACGGAGGGGGUUAGCGUUGUUCGGAAUGACUGGGCGUAAAGCGCGCGUAGGCGGAUCGGAAAGUUGGGGGUGAAAUCCCGGGGCUCAACCCCGGAAUGGCCUUCAAAACUCCCGGUCUUGAGGUCGAGAGAGGUGAGUGGAAUUCCGAGUGUAGAGGUGAAAUGCGUAGAUAUCUGGAGGAACACCGGUGGCGAAGGCGACAUCCUGGACCGGCAUUGACGCUGAGGCGCGAAAGCCAGGGGAGCAAACGGG
rnacentral:rRNA from 1 species